GGGGGGGGGGGGGGGGGGAUG
rnacentral:miRNA from 1 species